GACGAACGCUGGCGGCGUGCCUAAUACAUGCAAGUCGAACGAGAGCAACCGGUGCUUGCACUGGUCAAUCUAGUGGCGAACGGGUGAGUAACACGUGGGUAACCUGCCCAUCAGAGGGGGAUAACAUCCGGAAACGGAUGCUAAAACCGCAUAGGUCUUCGAACCGCAUGGUUUGAAGAGGAAAAGAGGCGCAAGCUUCUGCUGAUGGACGGACCCGCGGUGCAUUAGCUAGUUGGUGAGGUAACGGCUUACCAAGGCCGUGAUGCAUAGCCGACCUGAGAGGGUGAUCGGCCACAUUGGGACGGAGACACGGCCCAAACUCCUACGGGAGGCAGCAGAAGGGAAUCGUCCGCAAUGGACGCAAGUCUGACGGAGCAACGCCGCGUGAGUGAAGAAGGUUUUCGGAUCGUAAAACUCUGUUGUUAGAGAAGAACAAGUGCUAGAGUAACUGUUAGCGCCGUGACGGUAUCUAACCAGAAAGCCACGGCUAACUACGUG
rnacentral:rRNA from 1 species